rnacentral:lncRNA from 1 species
GGGCUGUACAGUGAAUCAGUGAUGUGAGGAGCCGUGGGAGUGGGAGGUCGGGAAGCAGGGCAAUAAAGCAAAACCCCUCUUCAUCUACGCCUUCUUCCUCCGGAGAGUAGCCAUGGCCUCCGCCGGCGGAGGCGAUGAGGUGGGAGAGUCCGGCGGACCCCAUCCAAGCGCCACCAACUCGAGCGAAGUGCUGCUGGUGGUGGUAAAGGCACCCCGUAAUCUUUCACAUUUUCUUUUUCUUAUUUAUUUUUUUUUUGAAUUUUUACCGGGAGAUUACUUCCACCUGAAUAUAUUCAAAAAGAGUCCAAAAGGCAGGUUUAUAGAAGUUUUGAGGAGGAAAAACAACACCGAACGCCCUAGCGCUGGGGUAAAAAGUGGCAUAGCCACAAAGCCACACAUAAACAUAGAAACAAUAGCAGGACGCGGAGACUACUAAUCAGGACAUAUGAGCUCUUCGACGAUGCCUCCAGGAGGUGAAUGACGCCGUAACGUAAUCAUCGUCAUGCAAGCCGGGGCUUGGCAAGGAUUUCUCCCGAGCCAUGUGCCGAUGAGAAGUAGUUGCAAGGCUCUUCAGUGAUGCCUUCAAGAAAGAGAAUCUCGUCCCUGGCUCAAAAGUUUGAGCUGAGCUUUCGCCUAGAGCCGUUGCCAAAGCCUCUAAAGACCCACCCGCGACUGAGGUGGUAGCCGGCCGCCGCCACACCAUACAGAGCCUUUCGGACUCGCCCGCGAUGGUGGUAGGCGCGCACUGUCAAACGUCGACCGCCUCCGCUCAACGCGGAGCCAUUCCGGACUCGCCCGCGACGAGAGGAGGCGCGCAAGAGCGUUCUCGCCUGAACAGAGGGGGGGGGGGGUGUCGGCCGCCGCCACACCGCGCGGAGCCGCGCCCAGACUCGCCCGCGGCGGUAGGAGGCGCGCACCAACAAGGAUCCCCAAACGUGCCGGUCGCCGCCACAUCACGCGGAGCCACACCAGGACUCGCCCGCGACGGAGGGGGGCGCGCACCGGCAAGCAACCAUCCAGACGAGGGGAGGAGCCGGUCACCACCACAUCCCACGGAGCCAUUGCCGGACUCGCCCGUGAGAUGGGAGGCGCACACCGGCACCACCAGCACGCUAACACCCAAGCAGAUGCCGAGGUCGACGCAGUCGGCGGCGGCGGAUGGAACCGCCCGGUCGCCCUCGAGGGAGAGCGACGCAGGCGUCGGGUCUCAGGGGCAGCGUUCGCCAUGGCCGACCAUGGUCAGACAGCACCCAUGGCCGAAGGCCCCUGACCAGGGCAGCGUCCAGCUGGAUCCGGGCCCGGGACGACCGGAUCUGGCGGCCGACCGCCAGUUACACCGCCGGCCAUCUCCCAGGCGACGAAGACAGCCCGACGUGCAGAAGCUUCAAGGGAGAGAGGAACGGAGGAGGAGAAACCCAGCCCUGCCGCCGCCAUCCUCGCCUCCGGCCAGGCAACCCGGGGCUGGCUCAGGCGGAGGCAGAGCGGUGGACGCGCGCCUUACGGCCGCGGGGGAGCUGCCGAGUCCAGGCCGCCAUGGUCAGGAGAAGGCUGGGGCCGCCUGGAACCGGCUGCCUGGCACGCCACGCCGCGAACGCCGGCCGCCAAGCUGGACCCCCACCGGAGCCAUGGAGGGGGCGUCGGAUCCGGCCCAAAGGGCCCUGGAUCUGAAGCCUGAGCGCGCCGCGGCCAACCAAGCUCGGAGCCCAAGGCCGGAGGAAGAGGAGGGGAGGGAAGGGGGAAGAGAGAAAAGAAAAGGUGCUAUGGGGUGGCCUUUUUGGGCGCCAUAGCUGGCCGCCGCCGGCGGCAGCGGCGGCCCGGGGAGCUCGCCGGCCGAUGGGGGUGGAGACGGAGGUGGGGGGUCGCCCUGUACGGAGAGCGACGCGGGGGGGGGGGGGGGGGCUCCUCUCAAGAGAAUAACUCUUUCCUCUUAUUUAUUAUUUUUGUUUGCGAGGGCAUCUUCAGCCCUUGAUCUGGUAGUACUACUGUGCAGUUUAGUUUAUCUACUUCGUCUCUAAUGUUCUUUGUGGUUAAGCGGCGUAGUUGGAUGCCUAGCUGAUGGCAUUUCAACUACAGGGUUACAAAUUCCUUCCCUUCCAUUUCCCUCCAAUCUGCGUCCUGGGUUGAAGCAGCAUACUUUUUUUUUUUUGCCUUCAGGAGUAACAAUCUGAAUAUCUGAGUGGUGGAACUUGUAGGAAUAGAGUAGCAUACACAACUUAUUGUUUGAUUUUACAGAAACAAAAAGUUGCAGAUUGUGUUCGGCGAUCUCAUUAUCUCAUUCCUUUUACUAUGUUUGUUUUCGACGAUGUGUUAUAUUCCAAGGAACAGACUUUGUGAUAUAUCACUUGAUGUACCUGUUGUUGGCUAUCUAGCCUAAAUUUACUGAUGGGAAAUGCAAUCUUUGCUUAUACAGCGGAAGCAGGUCAGAGUCUUGGGGUGGAAUUUGGAAGCGGAAAGAGCAAAGAUCCAGUUAUGUCCAAAGGUUGGAUAGGUCUGGUUGGAAUAAGUCUGAAAACCCACUUCAGUAUAUCACAGUCUUCUUCAUUCCAUGACUUCAAUAGUUGUUGCUUAUGGGCAGAAUAAUUGGAGGUGAGGUGUGAGGAUUCUCAGAGUAUAAAGGAGAUUGAAGACUUGAAGUCUGAUCUAGAUGAGGAUUUGCGGCAGCUUGGAUACUGCGAGGAGAAUGAGAAGCUGAGAGCAGAGUUGGAGGCCAGGAAUGACGGCCUGACAGAGGGGAAUGAGGAGUUGCAUGCAAGCCAAGAACGACAAUAGACCUCUUACAUUUAUUACAGUUGUACUACAGAUAUAGCCUGCCCUUACAGCAUCCUAUCUUCAUAUGGAAACCCAGUUCAAUCAAAAUGAAAUAGAUCAUUGUGAGUUUGUGAAUGUUAAAUAA